GCCUCAGCCUCCCAAAGUGCUGGGAUUAGAGGUGUGAGCCACCAAGCCCAGCCUCCCCACAGAUUUUUAAAAGGGCCCUGGGUAACACAGACUGGGAUCUGCUAAGUCACUAAAUGACCCUUUUAAAUAAAGAAGGAAGUCAUAAACCUCCACUUAAAAGGAGUGGGGGAUGGCAACAGAAACACAGCCAGUCAGAAGCCGGAAGGGUCUCACUCAACUCAUCCCCAAGCAGUCCUCGGGGAGCACCACGGUGAGCUGUGAGGAGCCAGCCCAGCACGGCACACACAACGAACAGAGAAGGAGCUUCUACUGCUUAACCAGAUGUAGAAACUGACGCACGCACAGAGAGGUCACGUGUGAUAUGGUUUGGACGUUGUCCCCUCCAAAUCUCAUGCUGAAAUGUGAUCCCUGAUGUUGGAGGUAAGGCCUGGGGGGGGUGGGGCUUGGGUCAUGGGGGUGGAUCCCUCAUGGAUGGUUUGGUGCCCUCCCCACGGUCACAAAGUCCGGGAGAUCUGAUUGCUAUAGAGUCUGGGAGGGCUGGGUGAGGUGGCUCACACCUGUAAUCCCAGCACUUUGGGAGGCCAAGGUGGGUGGAUCACAAGGUUAGGAGUUUGGGACCAGCCCGACCAACAUGGUGAAACCCCAUCUCUAGUAAAAAUACAAAAAAAUUAGCCGGGCGCGGUGGCAUGCGCCUGUAAUCCCAGCUACUCAGGAGGCUGAGGUUGCAGUGAGCCGAGGAUUGUGCCACUGCACUCCAGCCUGGCUGACACAGCGAGACUCCAUUUCAAAAAAAAAAAGAGUCUGGGAGUUCUCUCUCUCGCCAUGUGACGUGCCAGCUCCCCCUUCACCUUCUACCAUGAGGAAAAGCUUCCUGGGGCCUCCCCAGAAGCCAAGCAGAUGCUGGCACCACUUGUACAGCCUGCAGAACCGUGAGUCAAAUAACCCCCCAGCCUCGGCUAUUCCUUAUAGCAACUCAAAAUGGACGAACACAAUGUAUUAGUUUCUCUUUCUGGACCCCACAGUGUGCCUGGCUGGGGCUGUGCUCUGGGGAAAUGGCAACUGCGAGGUCCUCACAGACCGGGCCCGGGUCUUAACCACAGCCGCAUCUCAGCGCCUUGAUAUUGCUGAGUGGAUGCCCAAAAAGCACUGCUGGGUGAAUGUGCGAGUGAAUGAUGAAGAUGGAGGUGGCUGUUGGUGCCAGGGCAAGGCCCCAGGAGUCUGGGGAGGUGGCACCAGGCAGUUCAGGUCAACGGCUAACCCUGGACAGGGCCAGGAGGCAGCCAGAAUGGUUAAGGACAGCUAAGGGACUUUAGGCAAGUGGUCUCACUCUUCCCAGGCGGGCAGGAAGCAGGAAUCAGACCAAGGGGUGCCAGGUGGUAGUGGCACUCAGGGGGCCUGAGGAGCAGGUGCAGGCUCAGCAGGGCUGGUGGUGCCACGUGUGGGGCCGACCGUGGCCCCGUUCACUGCCUCCACCUCCUGGACGCAUGGGCCCAUGGCCCCCAAGGCCCUCCUCUGUCCCCACGCCCACCUUUCCAGGCUCCACUUCCAGACGCCAAGCCAUUUUCUCACUCCCAUCUCUCCCGUUGCCCCUAUAUCUGAGCUGACCUCCUCCCUGAGCUCUGGUGAAAUUCUAGAGAGCCCAGAGGUGCAGCUCACACUCCUGCGCCACAAGGCCUUUGCAGUCUCCACCUUCCUGGGACACUCCAUCUUAGAGCUGGGUGUGUACUUAUCUCACUGGAUCAGAAACUUCAGGAAUGCCCAUCUUGCAUGCUCCUGCUCCCCACUUCCCGCCCGCCACUCAGCCCGUGGCUGCCAUGUGGUUGGGCCUUGGCAGCCACCGCAGCUGGUAACACACAAUUAGCACUUCUGUGUCCAGGUUCCGUGCUGAGCCUCUUCAGUUUCAUCCCCGUUUGUCCUCAAAAUGGUCCCUGACAUGGUAACCAUCAUUAUCCAUUUUUCAGACAAAAGACCAUAGCUCUAGGAGAGGAGGAAUGGCAGGUCUGAGGCCACGUGGUUCGUAACAGGCAAAUGGACCCGGCAGUCACUCUACCCUCGAGUGGGGCUCCUCCCUGUCUGCAGACCUCGCUGAGGUUUUAGAGCCUGGAGCCAGUGAGUCUCCACUGAGCACAAGGACAGCGGCGGUGCCGGGGCUGGAACAAGGCAGGGAGGGGCCUCCCAAAUCACAGUCCUGGCUGUGGACCCACCUUGGGACCCCGCCCUGGCUGGGAACCUUGCUCCAGCCCACCCGGGACACCUUCCCACCCUGAGUCCUGCACUGGGCUGUGCACGGGGUCUGCUGAAUGAGUGAGGGCAGGAGGGAUGGUGAGCAGGGUGGAAAGCGACUAUGGUGGGUAGGCUUCUGCUGGAAGCUUGAAACAUUCCUGGCGAGCAGGAAAAUACCAGGGGAAGAGGUUACAGCCCUCAGAAGGGCUCGCUGGGGACUGUCCUGCAGCCCUCUCAUCGGGACAGGCAGAAAAUCCAGCCCCCCUUCAGGGUGAGUCCAGGAAGCCUGUGGGGGCACAGGCUCUAGCUAGGGUGGCGCGUGGGUUUACCCAGGGGACGCUGCCGUGGCCCAGAGUUAGGUUAAACCUCAUGUAUUCUGUAAAUAAUUAUUUAUAAUAAACAAGGCUUAUUCACCCUCUAAGAAGAGUAAAACAUUACAGGAGGCACUUUCUCACCAACUAAACACGUCAUAGUGACUUCACUGCGUCACUGAGGGAGGGCACCAGGGUGCCCGGUCCAGAGUAAACUGUGGCCAGGGGGACGGGCACACUGCCAAAUCGGCCAGACCUCCACCCCUGAAAAUGUGGGCUAAAUUCUCUUCAACAAGUUACAAGGAAAUUCAGUGUGAACCCCAUGUUUCCACCACUAUCGGCUGU
rnacentral:lncRNA from 1 species